UGCAAAUGUGAAUGACAUUUGUGAAUGCCC
rnacentral:piRNA from 1 species